GACGAAAGAUGGCGACGCGCUUAACACACGCAAGUCGAACGGAAAGGCCUGCUUUCCCUUGUGGAUUGCGGGUACUCGAGUGGCGAACGGGUGAGUAACACGUGAGUGAUCUGCCCCCAACUUGGGUAUAAGCCUGGGAAACUGGGUCUAAUUCCCGAUAGGACUGCAGGGUGGUGCCUGUGGUGGAAAACGAUUUUCUAGUGGUUGGGGAUGAGCUCGCGGCCUAUCAGCUUGUUGGUGGGGUAAUGGCCUACCAAGGCGGCGACGGGUAGCCGGCCUGAGAGGGUGGACGGCCACAUUGGGACUGGGAUACGGCCCAGACUCCUACGGGAGGCAGCCGUGGGGAAUAUUGCACAAUGGGCGGAAGCCUGAUGCAGCGACGCCGCGUGGGGGAUGACGGCCUUCGGGUUGUAAACUCCUUUCGACCGCGAGGAAGCCACCUGGUUGGAAGGGUGGUGACGGUAGUGGUAGAAGAAGCACCGGCUAACUACGUG
rnacentral:rRNA from 1 species